UACGUAGGGUGCAAGCGUUGUCCGGAAUUAUUGGGCGUAAAGAGCUUGUAGGCGGUUUGUCGCGUCUGCUGUGAAAUUUCGGGGCUCAACCCCGAACUUGCAGUGGGUACGGGCAGACUAGAGUGUGGUAGGGGAGACUGGAAUUCCUGGUGUAGCGGUGAAAUGCGCAGAUAUUAGGAGGAACACCGAUGGCGAAGGCAGGUCUCUGGGCCACUACUGACGCUGAGAAGCGAAAGCAUGGGGAGCGAACAGG
rnacentral:rRNA from 1 species